UAUGCUUGUUAAUUAGACUGUAUUUAAUUUGACUUAACAUUUGUGUCAGUUUGGUGAAAGUGAGACUUUGUAAUUAGGGAGUACAGACGGGGUUUCUGUCACAAUUCUACUCACUUACCCUAAUUUAAUGCCCCCUUUUCCAGUGUAUUGUCACACUUGGUGUGCUGAGUUCCCCCGCUGUCUUUUAUGCUUGACUAGUAACAAGGUGGCCCACAUUAUACAACCACCAGCAAAUGGACUCUGUCUCCUGGACUUAACAGCCUGAAGUUUCUGCCAGAUUCACCCAUCAGAAAUAAUUUCUUAUUUAAAGCAAAUGUCAACAAUUCUCUAUUGAAGCUAAUAUCGUGAACUUACAAAUGGAUGAAGAUAAACUGAGGCACAGAAGAUUAAGUAAUUUUUCCAAAGAUUCAGAAAUAGAAAAUGACAGAACUUGGCUCCUUAACCACUAUAUAUAUUCUGACUACCUCCAACAAAUUGGAAGAUGGUGGCUUUUAGGGAACAAAGUUCGUCAUCCUGAUACACCAGGUCUUUAAUGAUGUCAAUAAAGGAACAGCCCACCCUUUGGUUAAAAGACUCUGAGCCUUCAAGGACCACUGGUUGUCCAGAGGAAGCCAUGGUUAUUCUGGUGAAGCACGAGGCCACGGUUGUUUUGAUCAGUCACUCAAUGGAGGGUCCAAAGCUUAAGCAGAAUAAACUCAGGACAGACAGCACUGGAACUCUAGGAGUGUAACCUCACCAGCAGAUGAGAUUUGCUUUCACUGAUCUUUGACACCUGCCUGAGGUGCUACAAAUCUGCAUGUUUGUUUAAACUCCAACCAAACGCACUCCUGUUUAAGUUGGAAUAUCAUCACCAGGAUGUCUGGAAAUCCUUC